GUGUUGUAUGAAAGGAGAGAAGGUUAGAACUCUCCUUGACAAGGACGGAAGAGGCCCUUGGGACUGACAACACACAUACGGUUAAGGCACUGCCACCUACUUUGCGGCAUCUAACUACUGUUUUGU
ensembl:snRNA